rnacentral:lncRNA from 1 species
AUUUGCAUAGUCAUCCGCAUGUCUUGCAUAACAGGUACCGCCUCAGUGUUCUCAGUUUGUUUGGUGUCCCACUAGUAGGAUAGCUGACUCAGGCAUUCACCGAUACGGUACCCGGAGGAACCAACAGAGAGCGAUGGAGAGCCUACAGGCAGAUCUCGCCGAGAUGAAGAUUCGCAUGAAUCAAUUCAUGGAUUUGGUUCAAGGGGUGGCUCAAGGACAACAGGAGCUUAGAUUAUUGGUGCAUAAGGAUCCCCCUAUUACUCAACCGGAGACGUUGGCUGAUCCUCCAGCUGGAGAGGCUAAUGGUCCCAAUGGACCGGGGCCUAUCCCAAUCCUACAUGUCAC